GUGCUCGCUUCGGCAGCACAUAUACUAACAUUGGAACGAUACAGAGAAGAUUAGCAUGGCCCCUGUGUAUAGAUUACACGUAAACUCGUAAACUCGUGAAGUGUUCCCUAUUUUU
ensembl:snRNA U6 U6 spliceosomal RNA